rnacentral:misc_RNA from 1 species
CACUCAGUAGAUUUCUACUGCACGGGGGGAGCGGAAAAUAGCCAUCUUGCGUCUGCAAUUUGGCUUACGAGUAUGCUCCCUGUCUGAACCCUUGUCUUUUUGCGUACUCAUGUUUCCUCGGCGGGCUUGCCCGCCAGUUGGACAACUCAACAACCUUUUUAAUUUCAAUCAGCGUCUGAAUAAUUAUAAUAAUUA